rnacentral:rRNA from 1 species
UACAGAGGUCUCAAGCGUUGUUCGGAUUCAUUGGGCGUAAAGGGUGCGUAGGUGGCGCGAUAAGUCGGGUGUGAAAUCUCGGAGCUUAACUCCGAAACUGCAUUCGAUACUGCCGUGCUUGAGGACUGGAGAGGAGACUGGAAUUUACGGUGUAGCAGUGAAAUGCGUAGAGAUCAUGAGGAAGACCAGUGGCGAAGGCGGGUCUCUGGACAGUUCCUGACACUGAGGCACGAAGGCCAGGGGAGCAAACGGG